AGUGAAUAUGAGAUAACUGGCAUUUGUGUUCUUUGACUACCCCUCCACUGUCCUUUACAUAGACACACAACGCACAAAUCUGCUUGCUAAAUGAUUUUAUAUCCUCUAGCGACUCACUCUGUAUUCUCUCUCAAAUGAGCGAUUUUAGCCCUAAUAUUAGUGGAUCUCGUCUAUGUUGCAUCAUUCAAUGGUAAAUGCUUCACUCUUGUACGCUAAGUGUUAAUUCUCUCUUUUUUUUUUUCGAUCCUAGUUCUAGAUCUGUUCGGACCCGGCGGCAUGCGCAUAUAUCCACUUUGGACGAUGUCGAAUCUGUUCAGGCUUUCAUUAGUGACUACAUACAACCGAUGGUCGAAGUUGUUGGUGAGACAUACGUUGAAAGAUUGAGUCAAAAUCUCACGAAGAAUCCCAUUUUGCAGGAACAAAUAAGUUAUUUUGUACAAAUAUAUCUAUUUUUACAGAUCUAGAUUUUUUGAAGAAAUAUUGUUUUUUUCCUUAUAUCUAUUACAGUUCUAUUAUUAACUUUGGCACUAAAUGUACUUUUUUUCCAGAUGUUUUUGUUAUAUGAGAUGUCGUUUUU